rnacentral:rRNA from 1 species
UACGGGAGGCAGCAGUGGGGAAUAUUGCACAAUGGGCGCAAGCCUGAUGCAGCCAUGCCGCGUGUAUGAAGAAGGCCUUCGGGUUGUAAAGUACUUUCAGUCGUGAGGAAGGUGUUAAGGUUAAUAACCUUAGCAAUUGACGUUAGCGACAGAAGAAGCACCGGCUAACUCCGUGCCAGCAGCCGCGGUAAUACGGAGGGUGCGAGCGUUAAUCGGAAUUACUGGGCGUAAAGGGCACGCAGGCGGUUAAUUAAGUUGGAUGUGAAAUCCCCGGGCUUAACCUGGGAAUGGCAUUCAAGACUGGUUAGCUAGAGUCUUGUAGAGGGGGUAGAAUUCCAUGUGUAGCGGUGAAAUGCGUAGAGAUGUGGAGGAAUACCGGUGGCGAAGGCGGCCCCUGGACAAAGACUGACGCUCAUGUGCGAAAGCGUGGGGAGGCAAACAAGGGAUUAGAUACC